rnacentral:rRNA from 1 species
UACGUAGGGUGCAAGCGUUAAUCGGAAUUACUGGGCGUAAAGCGUGCGCAGGCGGUUCUUUAAGACAGUUGUGAAAUCCCCGGGCUCAACCUGGGAACUGCAUUUGUGACUGUAGAGCUGGAGUGCGGCAGAGGGGGAUGGAAUUCCGCGUGUAGCAGUGAAAUGCGUAGAUAUGCGGAGGAACACCGAUGGCGAAGGCAAUCCCCUGGGCCUGCACUGACGCUCAUGCACGAAAGCGUGGGGAGCAAACAGG